rfam:Aspergillus flavus NRRL3357 scf_1106286417600 genomic scaffold, whole genome shotgun sequence.
GCCGGGCUAGCUCAAUCGGUAGAGCGUGAGACUCUUAGUCAUCACGGUAUCUCAAGGUUGCGGGUUCGACCCCCGCGUUCGGCU